rnacentral:rRNA from 1 species
CCUACGGGAGGCAGCAGUGGGGAAUAUUGGGCAAUGGGCGCAAGCCUGACCCAGCAACGCCGCGUGAAGGAAGAAGGCCCUCGGGUUGUAAACUUCUUUUAUCAAGGACGAAACAAAUGACGGUACUUGAUGAAUAAGCCACGGCUAACUACGUGCCAGCAGCCGCGGUAAUACGUAGGUGGCAAGCGUUAUCCGGAUUUACUGGGUGUAAAGGGCGUGUAGGCGGGACUGCAAGUCAGAUGUGAAAACCAUGGGCUCAACCCAUGGCCUGCAUUUGAAACUGUAGUUCUUGAGUGUUGGAGAGGCAGGCGGAAUUCCGUGUGUAGCGGUGAAAUGCGUAGAUAUACGGAGGAACACCAGUGGCGAAGGCAGCUCACUGGACUGCAACUGACACUGAGGCUCGAAAGUGUGGGUAUCAAACAGGAUUAGAUACCCUUGUAGUC